UGACUGUGGGGCUGUGGAUGGGACAGUCUCAAACUCCAUGUUCCCCCAGACCCAGGGCCCAUCCUGGCACCCAGCCCACAGUGGGCCCUGAGGAAGCAUGGACCUCCGGGGUAGCCAGAAUCCAUUCCUUCCCAUGUCAAGCCCUGUGCUGGGCCCACCCAGCCUCUUCUGUCCUGGGGAAAUCACCCCAGGGCUGGGGACCUGGCCCCAGGGCCCUCAUGGGAUGUUGUCACCAGGACCAAAAGCUGGGAGACCCAGAGCCAGAGAAUUAGGCUGAGAAUUGGGAGACAGAGCCUUCUUGGGACAGGUGACCUGCCUUGUACCAGCUGCCGUAUUCCCCAUAGGGGGCGCUGUCCCGGCGCUUAUCCUGGAGGAAAGAAUGGUCACAAGAAAGAUGAGCAGAACAGACCCUUGCACCUCAGGCCACAGCCCAAGACAUGUGCUAGGCCUGAAUGAUGGGCCAGGCUCCGAGGGACUCAGGAGCAGAUGACUGACCAUCCGGGGCCAGAGGUGGUUUCCCAGAGUGGGAGACACUGGGGCAGGCCCUCAAGAGCCAAACUCUUUCUCAUGAGCGCGGGUGAGGAUCUCCUUGUACAAGGUCUCCGCAUCCUGGUACUUGCCCUGCUUCAGGUAGCAGGAAGCCUGGAAGCGGGAGACCCAGAGAGACUGCCAGGUUGUUUAGUGUCGCAGCCACCUGGAGGUGGGAGAACGGAAGCUUCUUGACUCAGGCCCUGCAGGACUCUGGGACCUGCAGGGGAUGGGGCACAGCCCCCACCUCCCACCCAACCCUCACUCACGGCUGGGUGGUCCUUGCCCAGUGUUUUCUCCCGGAUGGCCAGAGCAUCAUUGAGCAGGCCUCCUUGCUGGGCAACAGUGACCAUGGUAGGAGCUCACGUUAGGGGAGGCGUCUUCAUCCAACUUGCGGAUCUGGCUCAUGAACAGCAAGUGCUGCUUCUCCUCCUCGAGCUGGGCCACGGCCUGCUCACUGCGCUGCAGCUUCUGCUGUGUCCCCGCCAGCUCCUCACGCAGCCACUGGUUCUCCUGCACCAGACGCCGCACCUGCGCCCGCAGCUUCUGCUUCUCUGAUUCUACAGCCCCCAGGUGGCUCGACAAUGCCAAGAUCACCUGUGCAACCAGCCCAGCCUCUGCUGCCACAGCCAGUAGGUUACUGCUCCCUGCCUCAGGGCUAGCGCUUGCCCACAGAACUCUGCUAGAUGGCUGAAGGACCACCCAAAGACUCCAUCCCCACUUCUGCUGAGGGGCCACAGCAUCCCCUGCCUUUCUGCAGCUCCCAGGUCUUGCUGGACCUACCUCCAGAACAUCCAGAACUGGUCCCUUUUCUCCACCGUCAUAGCCACCCCUUAAUUCCAAGCACCAGCUCUCAUUUGAAUUCCAGCAGUGGCUUCCUAACCACUCAUUGGAGAGUGAUUCCAUCCUCGACCCACUGAGGUUUAUUCUCCACAUCUCAGCCAGAGAGAGUUUUUAGAAACUCAAGUCAGACUGUGUUGCCUGCCUGCUUAAAGCCCUCCAGAGGCUUUCUGAUUUCCUGAGAAUAAAACCCAAACCAACCAGGCCAUGAUCUGGUUCUUG
rnacentral:lncRNA from 1 species